rnacentral:rRNA from 1 species
AUGUCGGCCUGCCUCUAUGAUUCCAACGUCCGGCGCAACUUCUCCGUCGGCCUACCGCAGUUGGCGCGUGUCUACCCCUGGAUGGCCACCACAUGGGAGAUGCGGGAAGACCGGGAGUUUCCAACAGGUCUCUCUGCAGUGCUACAGGUGUCACCCAAAGCUGGUGAUGUUUUGCGCUUGGAGAAAGCAUGUAAUCUUACAGUUGAUGACCCUUUUGAGUGCUGA